AUACGGAAGGUCCGGGCGUUAUCCGGAUUUAUUGGGUUUAAAGGGAGCGCAGGCGGGUUAUUAAGCGUGACGUGAAAUGUAGCCGCUCAACGGCUGAACUGCGUCGCGAACUGGUAGUCUUGAGUGAGUACGACGCGGACGGAAUUCGUGGUGUAGCGGUGAAAUGCUUAGAUAUCACGAAGAACUCCGAUUGCGAAGGCAGUCCGCGAGUCCUUUACUGACGCUAAAGCUCGAAGGUGCGGGUAUCGAACAGGAUUUGAUACCCUGGUAGUCCGCACGGUAAACGAUGGAUGCCCGCUGUUGGCGAUACACAGUCAGCGGCCAAGCGAAAGCGUUAAGCAUCCCACCUGGGGAGUACGCCGGCAACGGUGAAACUCAAAGGAAUUGACGGGG
rnacentral:rRNA from 1 species